GAUGAACGCUGGCGGCGUGCCUAAUACAUGCAAGUCGAGCGAACAGACGAGGAGCUUGCUCCUCUGACGUUAGCGGCGGACGGGUGAGUAACACGUGGAUAACCUACCUAUAAGACUGGGAUAACUUCGGGAAACCGGAGCUAAUACCGGAUAAUAUAUUGAACCGCAUGGUUCAAUAGUGAAAGACGGUUUUGCUGUCACUUAUAGAUGGAUCCGCGCCGCAUUAGCUAGUUGGUAAGGUAACGGCUUACCAAGGCAACGAUGCGUAGCCGACCUGAGAGGGUGAUCGGCCACACUGGAACUGAGACACGGUCCAGACUCCUACGGGAGGCAGCAGUAGGGAAUCUUCCGCAAUGGGCGAAAGCCUGACGGGGCAACGCCGCGUGAGUGAUGAAGGUCUUCGGAUCGUAAAACUCUGUUACUAGGGAAGAACAAAUGUGUAAGUAACUAUGCACGUCUUGACGGUACCUAAUCAGAAAGCCACGGCUAACUACGUG
rnacentral:rRNA from 1 species